AUUGAACGCUAGCGGGAUGCCUUACACAUGCAAGUCGAACGGCAGCACGGACUUCGGUCUGGUUGCGAGUGGCGAACGGGUGAGUAAUGUAUCGGAACGUGCCCAGUAGCGGGGGAUAACUACGCGAAAGCGUAGCUAAUACCGCAUACGCCCUACGGGGGAAAGCAGGGGAUCGCAAGACCUUGCACUAUUGGAGCGGCCGAUAUCGGAUUAGCUAGUUGGUGGGGUAACGGCUCACCAAGGCGACGAUCCGUAGCUGGUUUGAGAGGACGACCAGCCACACUGGGACUGAGACACGGCCCAGACUCCUACGGGAGGCAGCAGUGGGGAAUUUUGGACAAUGGGGGAAACCCUGAUCCAGCCAUCCCGCGUGUGCGAUGAAGGCCUUCGGGUUGUAAAGCACUUUUGGCAGGAAAGAAACGUCGCGGGUUAAUACCUCGCGAAACUGACGGUACCUGCAGAAUAAGCACCGGCUAACUACGUG
rnacentral:rRNA from 1 species